ACGAUGAUCCCAGCUUGCUGGGGGAUUAGUGGCGAACGGGUGAGUAACACGUGAGUAACCUGCCCUUGACUCUGGGAUAAGCCUGGGAAACUGGGUCUAAUACCGGAUACGACCAUCUGGCGCAUGUCAUGGUGGUGGAAAGCUUUUGUGGUUUUGGAUGGACUCGCGGCCUAUCAGCUUGUUGGUGGGGUAAUGGCCUACCAAGGCGACGACGGGUAGCCGGCCUGAGAGGGUGACCGGCCACACUGGGACUGAGACACGGCCCAGACUCCUACGGGAGGCAGCAGUGGGGAAUAUUGCACAAUGGGCGCAAGCCUGAUGCAGCGACGCCGCGUGAGGGAUGACGGCCUUCGGGUUGUAAACCUCUUUCAGUAGGGAAGAAGCGAAAGUGACGGUACCUGCAGAAGAAGCGCCGGCUAACUACGUGCCAGCAGCCGCGGUAAUACGUAGGGCGCAAGCGUUAUCCGGAAUUAUUGGGCGUAAAGAGCUCGUAGGCGGUUUGUCGCGUCUGCUGUGAAAGACCGGGGCUCAACUCCGGUUCUGCAGUGGGUACGGGCAGACUAGAGUGCAGUAGGGGAGACUGGAAUUCCUGGUGUAGCGGUGAAAUGCGCAGAUAUCAGGAGGAACACCGAUGGCGAAGGCAGGUCUCUGGGCUGUAACUGACGCUGAGGAGCGAAAGCAUGGGGAGCGAACAGGAUUAGAUACCCUGGUAGUCCAUGCCGUAAACGUUGGGCACUAGGUGUGGGGGACAUUCCACGUUUUCCGCGCCGUAGCUAACGCAUUAAGUGCCCCGCCUGGGGAGUACGGCCGCAAGGCUAAAACUCAAAGGAAUUGACGGGGGCCCGCACAAGCGGCGGAGCAUGCGGAUUAAUUCGAUGCAACGCGAAGAACCUUACCAAGGCUUGACAUGAACCGGAAAGACCUGGAAACAGGUGCCCCGCU
rnacentral:rRNA from 1 species